CGGAACACGUACACAACCUACCUCUGAGUGGGGGAUAGCCCAGAGAAAUUUGGAUUAAUACCCCGUAACAUUAUUUUAUGGCAUCAUGAAGUAAUUAAAGCUACGGCGCUUGGAGAUGGGUGUGCGUCUGAUUAGGUAGUUGGUGUGGGUAACGGCCCACCAAGCCAGCGAUCAGUAACUGGUGUGAGAGCACGACCAGUCACACGGGCACUGAGACACGGGCCCG
rnacentral:rRNA from 1 species